rnacentral:rRNA from 1 species
AGCUUGCUCCUCUGACGUUAGCGGCGGACGGGUGAGUAACACGUGGAUAACCUACCUAUAAGACUGGGAUAACUUCGGGAAACCGGAGCUAAUACCGGAUAAUAUAUUGAACCGCAUGGUUCAAUAGUGAAAGACGGUUUUGCUGUCACUUAUAGAUGGAUCCGCGCCGCAUUAGCUAGUUGGUAAGGUAACGGCUUACCAAGGCAACGAUGCGUAGCCGACCUGAGAGGGUGAUCGGCCACACUGGAACUGAGACACGGUCCAGACUCCUACGGGAGGCAGCAGUAGGGAAUCUUCCGCAAUGGGCGAAAGCCUGACGGAGCAACGCCGCGUGAGUGAUGAAGGUCUUCGGAUCGUAAAACUCUGUUAUUAGGGAAGAACAAAUGUGUAAGUAACUAUGCACGUCUUGACGGUACCUAAUCAGAAAGCCACGGCUAACUACGUGCCAGCAGCCGCGGUAAUACGUAGGUGGCAAGCGUUAUCCGGAAUUAUUGGGCGUAAAGCGCGCGUAGGCGGUUUUUUAAGUCUGAUGUGAAAGCCCACGGCUCAACCGUGGAGGGUCAUUGGAAACUGGAAAACUUGAGUGCAGAAGAGGAAAGUGGAAUUCCUGGG